AAAGUAGCAAAUUGUCGUUCCUGAAUAGGUGGCGCCGUGGUAGCCGAUCCUGUUCUUAAACUUCCGGUUUCUGCACUGUGCAACUAUACAGUUGCAUUUUUAAUUAACGAUGCCAAGUACUUGUUGUUGUGUACCUGGAUGUCAUUUAAGAGGAGGACAUGCAUUUCCAAAUGACUUAAAAAGAAGGAAAAGUUGGAUCAACGCCAUGGCCCAUACGCAGAUUGGACGAGAACACGAUGAAAUCGUGGAGUCCAUCUCAAUCAGCUGUUGUUUGCAAGGCACAUUUUACUGAAAAAGACUACGUGCAGGAAACUAUUCAUGAGCGCAAACCCUCCAUACAGAGACUUAAGUCUACUGCCAUUCCCAGCCUAUUUUCCUGGAUCAAGCAAGAGACUGAAUCGUCCGCAAAAAGAAAAGUCAGGGCAGUUUCCUGGGAAAACAAAAGAACUAAACUUGAUGAAUAUUGUAGUAGAAAUCUAGAGGAAAGUUUUGAUUGUAAAGUUGGUUUUCCUGAAGAAGUCAUUCAUACUGCAGCCAGGAUUUAUGACUGUCCACCACCAACUGCCAAGUUAAUGUUGAGCUUCACAGAUGGAAUUACGCAAACACCAUCAAUGCCUAUAUUUUCAGCAGAGAAUUUUGAAAUGAAGACAUGUGACACAGCCAUGCAUUUUUAUACCAGUUUAGAGUUGUAUACUAAAUUUUUAUUUGUUUUGACCACACUUGGUCCAGCAGCACAUUGUUUGAGAUACAUAUAUUUUCAAAUUGAUAGGGUGUCAUUUGAAAAUCAUUUUUUUAUGACUUUGAUGAAAUUGAGGCAUUAUACAACCAACUUUGAACUGUCUAGAUUCUAGAUUGAAACUAGUGUUAAGAAUAUUGUGUAAACAUGGAUUGUUUUUAUGUCUAAACAGUGGCGUGAGGCUAACACUUGGCCAUUUAGUGGUUUAGUCAGGUAUUUUUCGCCAUCCAACUUCAAAUUAAAGUUUCCUACAACUUGGAUUAUUAUUGACAGCACAGAAUAUCCCGUGAUAAAACAUAAAGCUCCUAGAGCUCAGGCAACCUUUUCAUCAUAUAAAAACAGAAACACUGAAAAUACUUGUAUGUUCGACACCUGGUGGUUUAGUCAACUACAAAAAUGUAUGUCUCUAAUGCAUAUGUUGGUUGUACCAGUGACUGUGAAAUAGUUGAAAGAUGUAGAAUACAUGUGUAGUUCAAUUAUGUGAUCCAGGUGACAGUGUGAUGACAAAGGUUUAAAUGUGCAAGAUUUGUUUCCUCACUUUUUUCAAAAAAAGAAACAGAAUUAGUUCCAAAACUCUUAUACGGGAUAAAAAAGUCUCCAAUUAACACAUGCACAUAGAGCUAAUUAUUGGACUUGGCAAAACGUACAAAAUUCUAAUAAAUCCUAUGAAUGGAACUGAAACAAAACUUUCAUCUGAAAUAACAUUUAGUUGUUUUAUGUUGUGUAAUUUUAGAACUUGUAUUGUGCCAAAGGAUGCAUAAAUAAAAGUGGCGCAAUGAA